UGGGGAAUCUUGGACAAUGGGGGCAACCCUGAUCCAGCCAUGCCGCGUGAGUGAUGAAGGCCUUAGGGUCGUAAAGCUCUUUCGCCUGUGAAGAUAAUGACGGUAGCAGGUAAAGAAACCCCGGCUAACUCCGUGCCAGCAGCCGCGGUAAUACGGAGGGGGUUAGCGUUGUUCGGAAUUACUGGGCGUAAAGCGCACGUAGGCGGACCAGAAAGUUGGGGGUGAAAUCCCGGGGGCUCAACCCCGGAACUGCCUCCAAAACUAUUGGUCUAGAGUUCGAGAGAGGUGAGUGGAAUUCCAAGUGUAGAGGUGAAAUUCGUAGAUAUUUGGAGGAACACCAGUGGCGAAGGCGGCUCACUGGCUCGAUACUGACGCUGAGGUGCGAAAGUGUGGGGAGCAAACAGGAUUAGAUACCCUGG
rnacentral:rRNA from 1 species